AUUGAACGCUGGCGGCAUGCCUUACACAUGCAAGUCGAACGGCAGCACGGGAGCAAUCCUGGUGGCGAGUGGCGAACGGGUGAGUAAUAUAUCGGAACGUGCCCGGUCGUGGGGAUAACGUAGCGAAAGCUACGCUAAUACCGCAUACGAUCUACGGAUGAAAGCGGGGGAUCGCAAGACCUCGCGCGAUUGGAGCGGCCGAUAUCAGAUUAGGUAGUUGGUGAGGUAAAGGCUCACCAAGCCGACGAUCUGUAGCUGGUCUGAGAGGACGACCAGCCACACUGGGACUGAGACACGGCCCAGACUCCUACGGGAGGCAGCAGUGGGGAAUAUUGGACAAUGGGCGAAAGCCUGAUCCAGCAAUGCCGCGUGAGUGAUGAAGGCC
rnacentral:rRNA from 1 species